rnacentral:rRNA from 1 species
AUUGAACGCUGGCGGCAGGCUUAACACAUGCAAGUCGAGCGGAGAUGAGGUGCUUGCACCUUAUCUUAGCGGCGGACGGGUGAGUAAUGCUUAGGAAUCUGCCUAUUAGUGGGGGACAACAUUCCGAAAGGAAUGCUAAUACCGCAUACGCCCUACGGGGGAAAGCAGGGGAUCUUCGGACCUUGCGCUAAUAGAUGAGCCUAAGUCGGAUUAGCUAGUUGGUGGGGUAAAGGCCUACCAAGGUGACGAUCUGUAGCGGGUCUGAGAGGAUGAUCCGCCACACUGGGACUGAGACACGGCCCAGACUCCUACGGGAGGCAGCAGUGGGGAAUAUUGGACAAUGGGCGGAAGCCUGAUCCAGCCAUGCCGCGUGUGAAGAAGGCCUUUUGGUUGUAAAGCACUUUAAGCGAGGAGGAGGCUACCUGGAUUAAUACUCUAGGAUAGUGGACGUUACUCGCAGAAUAAGCACCGGCUAACUCUGUGCCAGCCGCCGCGGUAAUAC